rnacentral:rRNA from 1 species
GAUAAACGCUGGCGGCGUGCAUGAGACAUGCAAGUCGAACGAAGGAUCGGGCUUGCUCGAUCCUUAGUGGCGGACGGCUGAGUAACGCGUAGGUGACCUACCCCGAAGUGGGGAAUAACUGCCCGAAAGGGUGGCUAAUACCGCAUGUGGUCGCACGUUCAUUCGUGCGAGUAAAGCCGCAAGGCGCUUCGGGAGGGGCCUGCGUCCGAUUAGCUCGUUGGUGGGGUAAUGGCUUACCAAGGCGACGAUCGGUAGGUGGUCUGAGAGGACGAUCACCCAGACUGGGACUGAGACACGGCCCAGACUCCUACGGAGGCAGCAGUCGGGAAUUUUGCUCAAUGGGGGAAACCCUGAAGCAGCAACGCCGCGUGAGGGAUGAAGGCCUUCGGGUUGUAAACCUCUUUUGUCAGGGACGAUGAUGACGGUACCUGGCGAAUAAGCCACGGCUAACUACGUG